rnacentral:rRNA from 1 species
GAUGAACGCUGGCGGCGUGCCUAAUACAUGCAAGUCGAGCGAACAGACGAGGAGCUUGCUCCUCUGACGUUAGCGGCGGACGGGUGAGUAACACGUGGAUAACCUACCUAUAAGACUGGGAUAACUUCUGGAAACCGGAGCUAAUACCGGAUAAUAUAUUGAACCGCAUGGUUCAAUAGUGAAAGACGGUUUUGCUUUCACUUAUAGAUGUAUCCGCGCCGCAUUAGCUAGUGGGUAAGGUAACGGCUUACCAAGGCAACGAUGCGUAGCCGACCUGAGAGGGUGAUCGGCCACACUGGAACUGAGACACGGUCCAGACUCCUACGGGAGGAAGCAGUAGGGAACCUUCCGCAAUGGGCGAAAGCUUGCCGGAGCAACGCCGCGUGAGUGAUGAAGGUCUUCGGAUCGUAAAACUCUGUUAUUAGGGAAGAACAAAUGUGUAAGUAACUAUGCACGUAUUGACGGUACCUAAUCAGAAAGCCACGGCUAACUACGUG